rnacentral:ribozyme from 1 species
UCGACCUCAUGCAACACAUCGAGUCCACUCUCAACAAGGAGAUCGAGGAGAUGCAGAUGGAUGAGGAGUCUGUGAUGCUGAGAGUGCCCAGGGUCCUCAAGGCCAAACACAUCGGCCAAGUCGGAGUGGACGAGGACAGUUCGGGUAACCA